CCUACGGGUGGCAGCAGUGGGGAAUAUUGGACAAUGGGCGAAAGCCUGAUCCAGCCAUGCCGCGUGUGUGAAGAAGGCCUUCGGGUUGUAAAGCACUUUCAGUGGGGAAGAAAGCCUUGGGGCUAAUACCCUCGAGGAAGGACAUCACCCACAGAAGAAGCACCGGCUAACUCCGUGCCAGCAGCCGCGGUAAUACGGAGGGUGCGAGCGUUAAUCGGAAUUACUGGGCGUAAAGCGCGCGUAGGCGGUCUGAUAAGCCGGUUGUGAAAGCGCCGGGCUCAACCUGGGAACGGCAUCCGGAACUGUCAGGCUAGAGUGCAGGAGAGGAAGGUAGAAUUCCCGGUGUAGCGGUGAAAUGCGUAGAGAUCGGGAGGAAUACCAGUGGCGAAGGCGGCCUUCUGGACUGACACUGACGCUGAGGUGCGAAAGCGUGGGUAGCAAACAGGAUUAGAUACCCCUGUAGUC
rnacentral:rRNA from 1 species